GACGUAGGGUGCGAGCGUUGUCCGGAUUUAUUGGGCGUAAAGAGCUCGUAGGCGGUUUGUCGCGUCGGCCGUGAAAUCUCCACGCUUAACGUGGAGCGUGCGGUCGAUACGGGCAGACUUGAGUUCGGUAGGGGAGACUGGAAUUCCUGGUGUAGCGGUGAAAUGCGCAGAUAUCAGGAGGAACACCGGUGGCGAAGGCGGGUCUCUGGGCCGAUAUUGACGCUGAGGAGCGAAAGCGUGGGGAGCGAACUGGA
rnacentral:rRNA from 1 species